CAACGAAUCGGAAAUAAAGUCUAACAUAGGAGGCAGCGUCUACUAACAAGUCAGUGUUAUUGCUGAUAGUUAAGUACAAUAAUUAUGACGAAAAGAAGGAAUUUGAAAAAAUGUCUGUUGGAUGUGACUGUCCUAUGGAUAACACUUGCGGUACGGUGUUCUGGUGACUUCGUGUCACAGAUUCCACAUGUUCAAACUGCUGAAGAAGGACAGAAUGUUACGCUGAACUGCACAUACAACACCUCAAGCAGUAGCACUCUUUAUCUGCAGUGGUACCAGCACUAUCCCAACGCAGCCCCACGCUACCUUCUUCAGAGAUAUUCGACAGGUGGUGGAGAUGAACUCGGCGUUAAAGACGGUCGAUUUUCUGCUGAAAUUAAACAUUCUAAGCGGUUUAUACAGUUAACGCUGCGAGAAGUAAAACUGUCUGACUCUGCCGUGUACUACUGUGGUCUGAGCACCACAGUGCUUCAGGGCUGAUGCUUGGCGUGAGCAAGAACAGCAGAACUAACGCUGUACGUUUUGCAUUAACGAUUGCAAUUUAACAAGAUGCAUAGUUGCUUUUAAGGAAAAAAUAGACAGUGCCUUGCAAAAUUAUUCAGACCUUAACCAGUUCUGUAAUUUUAAUUAAUAUCAAAUCCUAUAAUUGUUUUUUUUUGGUGGUAUUUGUAUUUAAAAGCACUGAAGCUCAAAAUUACAACUGUGAUACAGUUUGAUUUUAUAUAUAAUUUGGAAGCUGUACACAGGUAAAAAAUGUAUUUCCUAACGAGUUGCAUUACAAUGCCUCCCCCAGUUAAUGAUU